rnacentral:rRNA from 1 species
AUUGAACGCUGGCGGCAUGCUUUACACAUGCAAGUCGAACGGCAGCACGGGCUUCGGCCUGGUGGCGAGUGGCGAACGGGUGAGUAAUAUAUCGGAACGUACCCAGAAGUGGGGGAUAACGUAGCGAAAGUUACGCUAAUACCGCAUACGAUCUAUGGAUGAAAGCAGGGGACCGCAAGGCCUUGUGCUCCUGGAGCGGCCGAUAUCUGAUUAGCUAGUUGGUGAGGUAAAGGCUCACCAAGGCGACGAUCAGUAGCUGGUCUGAGAGGACGACCAGCCACACUGGAACUGAGACACGGUCCAGACUCCUACGGGAGGCAGCAGUGGGGAAUUUUGGACAAUGGGCGCAAGCCUGAUCCAGCAAUGCCGCGUGAGUGAAGAAGGACUUCGGGUUGUAAAGCUCUUUUGUCAGGGAAGAAACGGUAGAGGCUAAUAUCCUUUGCUAAUGACGGUACCUGAAGAAUAAGCACCGGCUAACUACGUG